AAAAAAGUAAUGAUGGGAAUAGUAGUCUUUAUCUAUGAUUUUCAGAGAAUCCUUGGUUGGUGAAAAAGGAUAUUCAUAAACUGACGAAUACGCCCCUGAACUGAUAAUCUGAAAUAAAAGUAGGAUUAUUCGGGUACGCCCGUUAAAGCGUUUUAAGGUCGGGUUUUUAUUCGAUAAACUGAGGUGGUACCACGGUAAAAAAUUAUCGUCCUCUGA
rnacentral:ncRNA from 1 species